rnacentral:rRNA from 1 species
AGAGUUUGAUCCUGGCUCAGAUUGAACGCUGGCGGCAUGCUUUACACAUGCAAGUCGAACGAUCUCUUUCGGGGGAUAGUGGCGAACGGGUGAGUAAGACAUAGGAACGUACCCAGUAGAGGGGGAUAACCUACCGAAAGGUAGGCUAAUACCGCAUAUACUCUGUGGAGGAAAGUGGGGGACCUUCGGGCCUCACGCUACUGGAGCGGCCUAUGACUGAUUAGCUAGUUGGCGGGGUAAGAGCCCACCAAGGCGACGAUCAGUAGCGGGUCUGAGAGGAUGAUCCGCCACACUGGGACUGAGACACGGCCCAGACUCCUACGGGAGGCAGCAGUGGGGAAUUUUGGACAAUGGGGGCAACCCUGAUCCAGCCAUGCCGCGUGAGUGAAGAAGGCCUUCGGGUUGUAAAGCUCUUUCGUGAGGGAAGAAACGGCCAUAGUGAAUAGCUGUGGUUACUGACGGUACCUCAAGAAGAAGCACCGGCUAACUACGUGCCAGCAGCCGCGGUAAUACGUAGGGUGCGAGCGUUAAUCGGAAUUACUGGGCGUAAAGCGUGCGCAGGCGGUUUGUUAAGUCAGAUGUGAAAGCCCCGGGCUUAACCUGGGAACUGCGUUUGAGACUGGCAAGCUAGAGUCCUGUAGAGGGGGGUAGAAUUC